rnacentral:rRNA from 1 species
UGUGCGCGAGUCACUGGGAUCAACUAAACCCAGAGGCGCAGUGAAAGCGUGGGGCUCGCACGGCAUAAAGCCGCUUGCGAGCCGAGAAGGGAGGACGGCAGGUCGUUCCCGAACGGGGCGGCCUGCCAGCACUCCCGGGGCGCCUCGGCUUCGGCCGCAGGCGCACCCGGAGCGCACACGUUGGGACCCGAAAGAUGGUGAACUAUGCCCGGCCAGGACGAAGUCAGGGGAAACCCUGAUGGAGGUCCGCAGCGAUUCUGACGUGCAAAUCGAUCGUCAGAGCUAGGUAUAGGGGCGAAAGACUAAUCGAACCAUCUAGUAGCU